rnacentral:rRNA from 1 species
CCCGAGACUCAGUGAAAUUGAACUCGCUGUGAAGAUGCAGUGUACCCGCGGCAAGACGGAAAGACCCCCGUGAACCUUUACUAUAGCUUGACACUGAACAUUGAGCCUUGAUGUGUAGGAUAGGUGGGAGACUAUGAAGUGUGGACGCCAGUCUGCAUGGAGUCAACCUUGAAAUACCACCCUUUAACGUUUUGAUGUUCUAACCUAGGUCCAUAAUCUGGAUCGGGGGACCGUGUCUGGUGGGUAGUUUUGACUGGGGCGGUCUCCUCCUAAAGAGUAACGGAGGAGCACGAAGGUUGGCUAAGCAUGGUCGGACAUCAUGCGGUUAGUGCAAAGGCAUAAGCCAGCUUGACU